rnacentral:tRNA from 1 species
GUGGAUGUAGCUCAGUUGGUAGAGCACCAGAUUGUGGUUCUGGGUGUCGUGGGUUCGAGACCCAUCUUCCACCCCA